rnacentral:pre_miRNA from 1 species
UACAAUGUUUGACUCUUCGUCUUAUUUGAGAAAAAAAUUACGAUUAAUAUUUUUAUUUUUAUUAGAUGAUAAAUCAUGAAUAGUACUUUACGUGUGACUAAUUUUUUAUAAUUUUCUAAAAAUUUUUUAAAUAAAACGAAUGAUCAAACGCUGGACACAGAAACC